UCCGCGGUAGCUCAAUGGUAGAGCAUGCGGCUGUUAACCGCAGGGUUGCAAGUUCGAGCCUUGCCCGCGGAGCUA
rnacentral:tRNA from 2 species